AAAAGAACCACGGACGAUGGACUCUACCUUCACCCCAACCGGCGCCAUGGAUUUUACCUCCAUCAUCUCUAUCCUCGUCAAUUUCAUCCAAGUUAAAUUCCAGGGGAAGUUGAUUUCGCCCUUCGAAACUCACCCCCUUGCCAUCGGCGUUGCCAUCUGCAGCCUGCUCCUGCAUUUCUUGUUGCUGCGUCUCGCCGAUGGAGCAUCGCAGCUCCUCAUCAACUUCACCGGUUCGAUAUCGGUGGCUUCGCUCGCGUGGGUGCUGCUCCACGAUUUCAAUGUGAGAGUCGUUACAUCAUAGUCUCCAUUUGACCUCUGAGAGGUGACAACUAUAUCUUUGCUGUGGAAAAUGCGUUAACUUGCAAUCUAAGACUACGUUGUCUCGCUGGUGGAUUGGCUUUUGGCCAGGAGCUUGAAUUUUUGCUUCAGCUGGACAUUCAAGUUUCUGGGGCCAAGAGAGCUACAAUCUUGGAUGUUGACUGUGGCAGUGAGUCCAAUUGACUUGCAUGGGAGCAUAAGUUGAAAUGUCAACCAGAAAGGAAAUUCUUUUUGUCUUGAAAUGCAAUAUUUUCAUCAACUUCAGAGUAGCAGGGUCUUCAGGUACUUGCACUAUUCCAGCGACCUGUAUUAAAAAAUGUUUGGUAUUGGAGCAUUUUCUGUUGAUUAUUACUUAUUAUGGAGGAUGAGUCUAUAUAUAUGAUGUUAAAAAGGAACAUGGUUAUUCACCACAUCACAGGGUAUUGUAUCCAUUUGUUUCCUAAAGUCUGUUUAGUAAGAGAUCACUUCUGUGAUGAAAGCGCACGGUGGGCAAUACACAUUUGAUAUGAGUAGUCAAUGGGCAGGGGCAUUCAUUGCAGACAUAAGCACCCAGAUUCAGGUUCCCUAUCUUCUCACGAAGGUCAAAUAGUACUCACUGGUAUCAUCUUUGAUGAAUGAAGCAUAAAGUGUGAGUUGAUGAAAGUUAGUGGCAAUCUUUUACCGUAGUGGAAGGCAAUCUGUGAUCACUAAGAUUGCACUGCACACAGCCAUAUAAGUCGAACCUGCAAAAUUUACCAGAGACACUGCAUAGGAAUCACAGUUCUGUAGACUAAAAAUAAGAAAGAGCAUAUGCUUGUGGAGGUGAUAUUUCAAAGUGGGCCUUUCAAAAGUGCAUGAAAUGUUGAAAUCGUAGUCACAUUCCAUGCAAUGAAAGACAGAGCGUUGACACUCUUCAGGAGAUCUGUCAACAAUGCUCCUUCCUAAUAUGAGAAGAAAAAGGAUGUGGGGGGUGGACAGGUUGUUGCAUAACUGAGGGCAAUUCAGCACAUGAUCUAUGGACCAGAAAAGAGCAGCUCUGCUCCAGCCAGCGAUGGGUUAAA